ACCAUUUUGCCCAGGCUAGUCUCAAACUCCUGGGCUCAAGGGAUCCACCGACCUUGGCCUCCCAAAGUUCUGGGUUUACAGGUGUGAACCACCAUGUCUGGCUGGUGACUGACAUCUUUGACCCCAGCAGUGAGUGCGGUCAUUUGGUUCAAGGAGGCAGGAAAAUGUGCCAAGUAACUGGGCGCUCCCACAUCUUGGAAAUUUAAAAUUUGAUUAUUGACAUAAAAAUUCAACAAGGGAUAAAUCCAGAACAGGAUAGAUAAAGCCAAGAGAAAAUAAAUAAGCUGAAAGAUUGUGCUAUUAUGAAAUAUAUAUUUGGUCUUCAACCCCAUUUCCUGACAUACAACUCCUAAAAUCCUUAGAAACACCAAAGUGUGAUGUCGUUUUGUUUAUUAAUGAGUUGACUGAUGUCUGGCAGCCCCUAGGUAGCUUCAGGAUGGGGGCUGGUGACCAGAAAGAACAAGGGGAGGAUUAGAGAGUUGGGACUUUCAGCCCACCUCCAACUUCCGGGGAGGGGAGAGGGGCUGAAGGUUAAGCCGAUCACCAAUGGCCAAUGGUUUAAUCAGUGAUUCCUUUGCAAUGGAGCCUCCAUAACGACCCAAAAGGACAGGGCUUAGAGAGCUUCUGGAUAGCUGAACAUGUAGAGGUUCCUGAAGGGUGGCGCACCCAGUGGAGGUGCAUGGAAGCUCCAUGCUCCUUCCCCCAUACUUUGCCUUAUGCAUCUUUUCAUCUGUAUUUUUUGUUAUAAACCAGUAAACCCAAGUGUUUCUCUGAGUUUCAUGAACUGCUCUAGCAAAUUAAUACAAUGCAAAGGAGGAAGCCAUGGGAACCCCAGCUUGGAAAUGGUUGGUCAGAAGUUCUGGAGGCCCAGACUUGGAACUGUCAUUUGAAGUGGGGGCAGUCUGGUAGACUCAGUCCUCAACCUGUGGGAUCUCCUGAUAAAUAGUGUAAAAACUGAAUUGGAGUACACUCAGCUGGUGUCCACUGCAGAACUGAUUGCUUGCUUGCUGUGUGGAGAACCCCGCUCCGCCGUCAGUCUUCUGUGUUGAUUGUUGUAGUGUGAAAGCACAGGAAACACAUAGUUUGAGUUUCUCCCUCCUCAUGAUGAUCAAGAUAAGCCAGAAAUUCCUCCACAAAGCCAUAUAAAAAGAUGCCUUCCUAUUCCACCAAAAUGGAAUUUAUAAAACC
rnacentral:lncRNA from 1 species